rnacentral:lncRNA from 1 species
UUUUCUUUUCUUUCUUUAGAAUGCUUUUUACCAAAUUAAGUAACCGAAAGAAGAUAUUUUCUUUUCGAAAAGUCAUUAAAAAUAUUGCUGGUCAUAUUAAAACAUAAUUAAAGAAAAAAAAAGGUAUUGGUAGAUUACAAGUAAGAUUUGCUUUCAUUCACCUUUUUAGUAAGAAUAAGAAUUGAGAAAUCUCUCACAAGAGCCAUGCGAUUGAAACCUUACCUAACAUAUUUUUUCUUAGUCAAAAU